GAUGAACGCUGGCGGCGUGCCUAAUACAUGCAAGUCGAGCGAAUGGAUUAAGAGCUUGCUCUUAUGAAGUUAGCGGCGGACGGGUGAGUAACACGUGGGUAACCUGCCCAUAAGACUGGGAUAACUCCGGGAAACCGGGGCUAAUACCGGAUAACAUUUUGAACCGCAUGGUUCGAAAUUGAAAGGCGGCUUCGGCUGUCACUUAUGGAUGGACCCGCGUCGCAUUAGCUAGUUGGUGAGGUAACGGCUCACCAAGGCAACGAUGCGUAGCCGACCUGGGAGGGUGGUCGGCCACACUGGGACUGGGACACGGCCCAGACUCCUACGGGAGGCAGCAGUAGGGAAUCUUCCGCAAUGGACGAAAGUCUGACGGAGCAACGCCGCGUGAGUGAUGAAGGCUUUCGGGUCGUAAAACUCUGUUGUUAGGGAAGAACAAGUGCUAGUCGAAUAAGCUGGCACCUUGACGGUACCUAACCAGAAAGCCACGGCUAACUACGUGCCAGCAGCCGCCGUAA
rnacentral:rRNA from 1 species